UCCCGCCGCCGCCCCUUGUCCUCCACCGAGCUACCAAGCCGCCGCCACACCACUCCACCUACGUUACUUCCCCCACGCAGCUAGCGGCAGCCGCCGCACGCCAGAUCUGCUCGACCCAUGUCUGGUUGAACGAACGUGAGGCCUCCAUGCUCCGUCUUCCAUACGGCCCCCGAGCCUAGAUCUAGACCCGACGGACCUUCAGCCUCAUGUUCCUCUCGGAGCUCCUCCCGUUCCUUCCUCACCACUGAGUCAUGGAUUCUGUCGAAGACUGCUGCCCCACCUUCGCCAUGCACCUUGCCGAUCCCUACCCUGGAUCUGAUGCCGACGCUUGCCGAGGACCGCCCCCUUCAGAUCUGUCGCACCUGCACAUCCCUGCCUCGCUUGCUACGCCCCAUCGCUAGAUCUGCGAGCCCCCAUCGCCAAGCAUCAUUUCCAGCGGUCACUGUCUCGCAUCUUCAUCAAGUUCGAUGGGAUCCCAUGCUCACAGCCCAUUCCUGUCGGCUCUGGUGGGGCGCCUCGACAAACCGGCUGGCUUCCGACCCGAGGGGCUGGGAGAUGUUGUGGCACUGUGUGUGCUGUAAUGGGGUCGCACCUGCAACGGCUCAAAACUGAACUGCUGUCUCCUCCGUUUCUUUUUCUUUGUUGCUUUCGGAGGUCAACUGAAACCCAGCCAAUAGCCAGGCUAGGCUUGGCCUACAAAUUGAUUCAGCAAAUGUAAAGCACCGGCCAGCAGCAAAAGAGAAUCUCCUUACUUCUCCU